UACGGAGGGUGCGAGCGUUAAUCGGAAUUACUGGGCGUAAAGCGUGCGUAGGUGGUUGGUUAAGUCCGAUGUGAAAGCCCUGGGCUCAACCUGGGAAUGGCAUGGGAUACUGGCUGGCUAGAGUGUGAUAGAGGGUCGUGGAAUUCCCGGUGUAGCGGUGAAAUGCGUAGAGAUCGGGAGGAACACCAGUGGCGAAGGCGGCGACCUGGGUCAACACUGACACUGAGGCACGAAAGCGUGGGGAGCAAACAGG
rnacentral:rRNA from 1 species